rnacentral:lncRNA from 1 species
UUGUCGUUUUACUUACUCUAACUUAUCUAAUCAGAGUAAACCUGUAUAGGGGAAUUCGAACACAGGGAAAGAAUACCGCAUGAGCUUACACGUUAGGGUCACACAAUUAACUAUAUUCCGCACUACUUAAAACAUCCAGGAAACACUACAAUGCUUUCCACUUCCUAAUAAUACUCCACCAUCACUGAUAACCAACAACAUGUAAUCCCGCACUAUCCUAAAUGACAGGACAUAAUCAUACUAUAAUCCAAAUUCUGGAGUUCUUCACCAUUAACUGCCUUCACAUUACAGUGUUUCACACAAACACAGACUCAUUCUCUCUGCUGAACUACAUUCAGAUUUCAGCAUUCAAUCUCUCUUCUUCUCAUUCAAUAACAUAUAAUUCCAUUCACACUUUCAUUCCAUGAUUCACUUCACAAUAUUCAGAAACUCUCAAUACUCUUAUUUCAAAGAACAUAACAACAAAAGAAAAGAGGUAGCACCAAGCUUACCCCGGCUCACACUAUCACAGUAAUGGCCCCUACUUCCUCUCUCCCAUCCUCUUUAUGCUACCACGAGAUACCAACUGCUACAUCUCUAAUGAAAACUGCUUUUCCUAACUAUUCAUCCAUUUUACCUACUGAACUACCUUUUCAACAGUCAUCUACCCCUGUUUACACU